rnacentral:rRNA from 1 species
AUUGAACGCUGGCGGCAGGCCUAACACAUGCAAGUCGAACGAGUGGCGGACGGGUGAGUAAUGUCUGGGAAACUGCCUGAUGGAGGGGGAUAACUACUGGAAACGGUAGCUAAUACCGCAUACCAGCAGAUGUGCCCAGAUGGGAUUAGCUUGUUGGUGGGGUAACGGCUCACCAAGGCUACGAUCCCUAGCUGGUCUGAGAGGAUGACCAGCCACACUGGAAAUUGGACCGUGUCCAGACGCCUACGGGAGGCACCAGUGGGGAAUAUUGCACAAGGGGCGAAAGCCUGAUGCAGCCAUGCCGCGUGUAUGAAGAAGGCAUUCGGGUUGGAAAGUUCUUUCAGCGGGUAGGCGUUACCCGCAGAAGAAGCACCGGCUAACUCCGUGCCAGCAGCCGCGGUAAUUC